rnacentral:misc_RNA from 1 species
AAGUCGUAACAAGGUUUCCGUAGGUGAACCUGCGGAAGGAUCAUUAAAUUCAGUAGCUUGCUACUGUUAGGGGGGUCUAUUAGUCUGUAUAGUAUCACUACUGAUGAGCAGCACGACCCUCUGUCUAUACCCUUGUCUUUUGCGCACUCAUGUUUCCUCGGCGGCUUUAUACCCGCCGGCUGGAUCAAUCUAUAACCUUUUUAAUUUUCAAUCAGCGUCUGAAAAACCUAAUAAUUACAACUUUCAACAACGGAUCUCUUGGUUCUG